AUUGAACGCUGGCGGCAGGCCUAACACAUGCAAGUCGAACGGCAGCACAGAAGAGCUUGCUCUUUGGGUGGCGAGUGGCGGACGGGUGAGUAAUGUCUGGGAAACUGCCCGAUGGAGGGGGAUAACUACUGGAAACGGUAGCUAAUACCGCAUAACGUCGCGAGACCAAAGUGGGGGACCUUCGGGCCUCACACCAUCGGAUGUGCCCAGAUGGGAUUAGCUAGUAGGUGGGGUAAUGGCUCACCUAGGCGACGAUCCCUAGCUGGUCUGAGAGGAUGACCAGCCACACUGGAACUGAGACACGGUCCAGACUCCUACGGGAGGCAGCAGUGGGGAAUAUUGCACAAUGGGCGCAAGCCUGAUGCAGCCAUGCCGCGUGUAUGAAGAAGGCCUUCGGGUUGUAAAGUACUUUCAGCGGGGAGGAAGGCGGUGAGGUUAAUAACCUUGCCGAUUGACGUUACCCGCAGAAGAAGCACCGGCUAACUCCGUGCCAGCAGCCGCCGCCG
rnacentral:rRNA from 1 species